CUGUCCUCCAGAGUGUGUGUGUAGUCUGUCCUCCAGAGUGUGUGUGUAGUCUGUCCUCCAGAGUGUGUGUUGUAGUCUGUCCUCCAGAGUGUGUGUUGUAGUCUGUCCUCCAGAGUGUGUGUGUAGUCUGUCCUCCAGAGUGUGUGUGUUUGUGUGUCCAAGUAGGGCUGAGAAUCACUUCGGUGCCGAUACUGAUAUCAAUAUUUUAUAAUACCUGGAAUCACGUAUCAAAAUAAUCGUCCAAAACUACACUGAACCAAAAUAGAAACGCAACAAUCUCAGGUUUUACUGACUCUCAGUUCAUAGAAGGAAAUCAGUCAAAUGAAAUGCAUUCAUUAGGUCCUAAUCUAUGGAGGUCACAUGACUGGGAAUACAUUCAUUAGGUCCUAAUCUAUGGAGGUCACAUGACUGGGAAUACAUUCAUUAGGUCCUAAUCUAUGGAGGUCACAUGACUGGGAAUGCAUUCAUUAGGUCCUAAUCUAUGGAGGUCACAUGACUGGGAAUACAUUCAUUAGGUCCUAAUCUAUGGAGGUCACAUGACUGGGAAUACAUUCAUUAGGCCCUAAUCUAUGGAGGUCACAUGACUGGGAAUACAUUCAUUAGGUCCUAAUCUAUGGAGGUCACAUGACUGGGAAUACAUUCAUUAGGCCCUAAUCUAUGGAGGUCACAUGACUGGGAAUACAUUCAUUAGGUCCUAAUCUAUGGAGGUCACAUGACUGGGAAUACAUUCAUUAGGUCCUAAUCUAUGGAGGUCACAUGACUGGGAAUACAUUCAUUAGGCCCUAAUCUAUGGAGGUCACAUGACUGGGAAUACAUUCAUUAGGUCCUAAUCUAUGGAGGUCACAUGACUGGGAAUACAUUCAUUAGGUCCUAAUCUAUGGAGGUCACAUGACUGGGAAUACAUUCAUUAGGUCCUAAUCUAUGGAGGUCACAUGACUGGGAAUACAUUCAUUAGGUCCUAAUCUAUGGAGGUCACAUGACUGGGAAUACAUUCAUUAGGCCCUAAUCUAUGGAGGUCACAUGACUGGGAAUGCAUUCAUUAGGUCCUAAUCUAUGGAGGUCACAUGACUGGGAAUGCAUUCAUUAGGUCCUAAUCUAUGGAGGUCACAUGACUGGGAAUACAUUCAUUAGGUCCUAAUCUAUGGAGGUCACAUGACUGGGAAUACAUUCAUUAGGUCCUAAUCUAUGGAGGUCACAUGACUGGGAAUACAUUCAUUAGGCCCUAAUCUAUGGAGGUCACAUGACUGGGAAUACAUUCAUUAGGUCCUAAUCUAUGGAGGUCACAUGACUGGGAAUACAUUCAUUAGGUCCUAAUCUAUGGAGGUCACAUGACUGGGAAUACAUUCAUUAGGUCCUAAUCUAUGGAGGUCACAUGACUGGGAAUACAUUCAUUAGGUCCUAAUCUAUGGAGGUCACAUGACUGGGAAUACAUUCAUUAGGUCCUAAUCUAUGGAGGUCACAUGACUGGGAAUACAUUCAUUAGGUCCUAAUCUAUGGAGGUCACAUGACUGGGAAUACAUUCAUUAGGUCCUAAUCUAUGGAGGUCACAUGACUGGGAAUACAUUCAUUAGGUCCUAAUCUAUGGAGGUCACAUGACUGGGAAUGCAUUCAUUAGGUCCUAAUCUAUGGAGGUCACAUGACUGGGAAUGCAUUCAUUAGGUCCUAAUCUAUGGAGGUCACAUGACUGGGAAUACAUUCAUUAGGUCCUAAUCUAUGGAGGUCACAUGACUGGGAAUACAUUCAUUAGGCCCUAAUCUAUGGAGGUCACAUGACUGGGAAUACAUUCAUUAGGUCCUAAUCUAUGGAGGUCACAUGACUGGGAAUACAUUCAUUAGGUCCUAAUCUAUGGAGGUCACAUGACUGGGAAUACAUUCAUUAGGUCCUAAUCUAUGGAGGUCACAUGACUGGGAAUACAUUCAUUAGGCCCUAAUCUAUGGAGGUCACAUGACUGGGAAUACAUUCAU